rnacentral:rRNA from 1 species
AGAGUUUGAUCCUGGCUCAGAAUCAACGCUGGCGGCGUGCCUAACACAUGCAAGUCGAACGCGAAAGUGGAGCAAUCCAUGAGUAGAGUGGCAAACGGGUGAGUAACACGUGGGUGACCUGCCUUCGAGUGGGGGAUAACGUCCCGAAAGGGACGCUAAUACCGCAUGACAUCCUGCCUUUUAAGAGGUGGAGAUCAAAGCCGGGGAUCGCAAGACCUGGCGCUUGAAGAGGGGCCCGCGUCCGAUUAGCUAGUUGGUGGGGUAACGGCUCACCAAGGCAACGAUCGGUAGCCGGCCUGAGAGGGCGGACGGCCACACUGGGACUGAGACACGGCCCAGACUCCUACGGGAGGCAGCAGUGGGGAAUUGUUCGCAAUGGGCGCAAGCCUGACGACGCAACGCCGCGUGGAGGAUGAAGACCUUCGGGUCGUAAACUCCUUUCGAUCGAGACGAACGGCUUCCGGGUGAACAACCCGGGAGAGUGACGGUACCGAGAGAAGAAGCCCCGGCUAACUCCGUGCCAGCAGCCGCGGUAAUACGGGGGGGGCAAGCGUUGUUCGGAAUUACUGGGCGUAAAGGGCUCGUAGGCGGCCAACUAAGUCAGACGUGAAAUCCCUCGGCUCAACCGGGGAACUGCAUCUGAUACUGGAUGGCUUGAGUUCGGGAGAGGGAUGCGGAAUUCCAGGUGUAGCGGUGAAAUGCGUAGAUAUCUGGAGGAACACCGGUGGCGAAGGCGGCAUCCUGGACCGACACUGACGCUGAGGAGCGAAAGCCAGGGGAGCAAACGGGAUUAGAUACCCCGGUAGUCCUGGCCCUAAACGAUGAAUGCUUGGUGUGGCGGGUAUCGAUCCCUGCCGUGCCGAAGCUAACGCAUUAAGCAUCCG